rnacentral:rRNA from 1 species
AACAAUUUUCUCUGUAAGUACGUCACAGAUGAGCCGUAUUAAGACUCACCCUUUCCUCCCUACUGAAGUGCUUUACAACCCGAAGGCCUUCUUCACACACGCGGCAUGGCUGCAUCAGGGUUUCCCCCAUUGUGCAAUAUUCCCCACUGCUGCCUCCCGUAGGGGGGCGGGGGCGGCGGGCCGGGCGCGGGGCGCGGCGGGCG